UUAUUAUUUUGUAUUUGCAUCUAACUUUUAAUUUUAUAAAAUGGAAAUGGUAGAAGUACUAAUAUUGAAGUUUCCUCUGAAUUUUAUAUUCAAAUCUGAACCACGUGAAAUGCUCCAUUAAUGUAGAGAGAGAAAGAGAAUGAUUGUUAAGGAUAAUGGGGUAGGUGUAGGGUAUUUUUGGAAUAAAGAAAAUAGUGAGAAAGUGUAAAAUAUUUUUGAAAUAAAUUAAAUUAAUGAGGAGGUACAGGUCUGGCUUGGGGAGGUGUAAGGAGCAACACCCCACCUUAAAAUAUCCAAAGAGCAUUUAUAAAACUAAAAAACAAUUUUUAUCAUGUUUUUGUAUCUAGUGCUCAAUAAACCCAAAUAUAACCAAUCCUAAUUAAAAUAUUCUAUUAACAUACAAAAACAAAUUCAGAAUCCAAUAUUAAAGACUAAAUAAGAACAUAAAUAUAUACUCAUCAAUAAUGUUAAAAUUACACUUAUGAGCAUGACUGAAAAAUAAAAAUUAUUAUAUAAAAAAUCAUCAAGACAAUAUUCUAUACAAUAAAAAAACAACAAAUAGUAUUAAAAAGAAAUAGUAUUAAAAAGAAGAAAAAAAUAUUAAAUAUGUGCUCUAGAAACAAUUUGGUAUACUUUUAAUGAAAUCUCACAAAGAAAACAAUGUAUAGUUAAGAUUAUUUUAAGAUGAAAAAUACCCUGGACAUUUAAGAAAUCUUUCAAAUAUUGAACUAGUUGAAUUAUUAAAAAAUAAUGAAAAUUGUUUUGGUAAAAUAAAAGUUAUUCGAAUGAGACAGAAAUUAAGAUUAAAGAUAAAAAAGAUAAGUUUUUAUAUAUUUUAAACAAAUUAUUGAAUAUUUAAAAUUGAGGUCAAACAUUCUUAUUAAAAGAAUAUAUAUGAAAGAUUGUCAUGAUCUAAUUUAAUAUAUUUGUUUUCAUAAUUAUAAUUCUUUAUUUUCUUAUAAUAAAUAGUUAAAAAUAAUUAAUUUAAAUUUUUUAUAUAAUAAAUUUUUAUUUAAUUUAGAAUUAAAAAAUGCAAAAGAUUUUGUUAAUUUUUUUUUUUAAUUAUGUGGACAGCCGCGGUAAGCUUGUAAACUGAGUGUGAAUAUGAAUCAAACCUAUCAUUUUUACCUAUCAUGUACAAAACAACCAAAAUAAGAUUGCUAAAAUCAUUCCAAUGAAACCUCAUUAUUAUUCCUAAACUUUAGUUCUUCAAAAAAACAUAGUGAAUUUAGUUUCAAAAAAUACAAAAUGUUAUUUAAUUUACAUUAUCUUGUGAAUUUUAUUUUGUCAUCAAAUAUAAUUUUAAUUGCUAAUUUAGUAUUAUUAAAAACUAAAUCUAGAUUAUUUAUAUGUUUAAAGAUUAAAUUAUAAUUUUCAAUAUUUUUUGAAGAUCUAAAUUAAUCAUUGUAAUACUUUGAUUUAGGAUGUCACGUGUGAGGAAGAGAACAUUCUUUAUUUAGGAAAAUAAAACUUUGAUACUAUCACAGUAUAGAAAAAAUUUAAACUUUAUAUUAAGUUAUCUUGAAAAUAAAUAAAAACAUGCGAGAAUAAUAAUUAAUCCAAUUACAACUUGAAAUAACAUACUAACCUCUUUAUAAUUUGUUUAAAUAAAAACAAACAACCUUUUGAAAACUCCAAAAAUAAUUCUCCACUCGUCUAUCGUUCUUCGCCGCUUCAACAUCAUCAGCAACAACAUCUGUAACAUCAUCUGCUCCCGUAUAAUACGAUCAUUGCAGGUGGAAACCAUCACCACAAAUGCAAGGGUGAGCUAACAGAAUCAACAUCUAACUCAUAGAUAAUGAUAUAAUAUAAUAAUACAAUUAUCAAUUAAUGUUACUAAUGAGGAGCAUUGGUAAAUCUUGAAGUAAAUAGUUUUGAUGAUGCUACAAGACGUUUUACCUGAAGGAAGUAUUAGAAAUGUUUAAAAGCACUUUGUAGAAUAUAAGUGUAAUAGGAAAGUCUUCAAAUUUUGUAAAACUUGUAUUUUUACUGAAAUAAUCGAUUAUGAGAAGCAAUAAUCAGUUAUCAUGAGUCUUUCAGGAAUAAUCGAUUAUCAUUCCAAAUAAUCAAUUAUCACAUUUUGAAAAACCUGUAACGGACUUGAAUAAUCGAUUAUCACUUACAAUAAUCGAUUAUUAGUGACAGUUGGGACUUGACCUCUGAUAUUUAGAGUAGCUGGCUAUAUAUUGGACUUCUGAGAAUUUCAGAAGAAACGUUGUUGAAUAGAAGCUCUUGCAGAAUACUGUUUGUCAGAGGAAGUUCUCAAAAGCUAUAGUUCAAGUUCCCUUGCUUGGUCUCGUGAAUAGGAGAAGCUCGCGUUUCGUGUGUCGAUAGUCGGAGCGGUUCUCUUCGAGUUAGCAAGGUGCUCUGCCUGGUCUCGUGAAUAGGAGAAGCUCGUGUAUCAUGUGUCGAUAGUCGGAGUGGUUCUCUUUGAGUUGGCAGAGUGUUCUUCUUCUGGUUCGUUCAUCGAAGGAAAGUUCUUUUAUCAUAUUUUAUUUAUUACUAUUGUAAUAUGUGAAACUCAUUUUUAUAGUGAUUACCGACUGAACGUAGAUUCUUUUGAAUCGAACCAGUACAAAAAUUACUUGUGUGAUUUUUCUACUCCCUAUACUGAUAACUCUCAAAUUUUCCCUAUUUUUCUAGUCUUAGAAGUUUAUUUUAGUACAUUUUAGUUUCUUAUUUUAUAGAAUUAGGUUAGUUUAGUAUUUUUUUUUUCUUUAAAUUUAGAGUUUUGUUAAAAUAGUGUUAAUUUUGCCUUUUCAGUUAAAUAAAAUAGGUUUUUAAAUAAAUAGAUAUUUUUCCUUUUUAGAAACAAAUAUUUUGAGAAUGAAAAUAAAAAUUUCUUUUGUUGUUAUAGACUUUUAGUUUUUUUUGUUGUUUAUUUUUUUUCNUUAUUUCUUUUUGCAGUAUUAAACCUGAUCCAAGGGGGCCACAAAUCUGGCCAAGGCUGGUGCUGAAAUGGGCCGAAGUAAUAUGGCCAGUGUUUAUGGACUAAAGCCAUUUUGGGCAGCAGAUUAAUGAAACGCUCAUUCAAGCAGCUGUGUGUUUACUAAAGGAGUAUACCCGUGAAGAGGGUUUCAUUUCUCCAAAUUAGAAGCAAUUGGAGCUAGGACUCACAAAGAAGAUUUUCCCCAAAUUCUCUAAACCCUCAAUCUAGGGUUCGUGGUCCAGCAAGAGGGGAUCAGUCCGAUGAAGCAAAUCCAAAGAACGACAACCCAAAAACGGGAACAGCCUAAGAUGUUGAUCGGUCAGAAUGAAGGUUGGAAGCACGUGCUAAGCUUGAACGGUUUGAGAACCUGGUCAGAGUCAGUUGAAGGAUAUUCAAGAAGCUUCCAAGUUUGUUCAGAUUCUUUCCCCUUUCCCCCUCUUUUCAUCUUUUCUGUUUAUGUUUUCUCCUAUAUAAAGGAGUUUUGUAAAAUAGAAUAAGUAUGUGCACUGGGUGACAGGCAGUGUACUUAGAUUAGGUUCUCCUUCUCUCGCCUUAGAGUAGAUAGUGGUGAGUGACAGACAUCACUUGUAGGGUGUAUACUACGAUUCAGUUUUCGAUUUCUCGCUUUAGUGUUAGAUUUACCGCUUUCGUAGAAGUAGAUACUUUGAUUCUUGCACUGGAAUUCUUGGGGAUGAUCAAUGGGUGACAGACUUUGAGCUCUCUGGGAUUUCUGGUAUCUGUACUUUUGAUUUCCUUUUCUUAAUAAAAGUUGUUCUUUCCAAUUUCAGUUUNNNNNNNNNNNNNNNNNNNNNNNNNNNNNNNNNNNNNNNNNNNNNNNNNNNNNNNNNNNNNNNNNNNNNNNNNNNNNNNNNNNNNNNNNNNNNNNNNNNNNNNNNNNNNNNNNNNNNNNNNNNNNNNNNNNNNNNNNNNNNNNNNNNNNNNNNNNNNNNNNNNNNNNNNNNNNNNNNNNNNNNNNNNNNNNNNNNNNNNNNNNNNNNNNNNNNNNNNNNNNNNNNNNNNNNNNNNNNNNNNNNNNNNNNNNNNNNNNNNNNNNNNNNNNNNNNNNNNNNNNNNNNNNNNNNNNNNNNNNNNNNNNNNNNNNNNNNNNNNNNNNNNNNNNNNNNNNNNNNNNNNNNNNNNNNNNNNNNNNNNNNNNNNNNNNNNNNNNNNNNNNNNNNNNNNNNNNNNNNNNNNNNNNNNNNNNNNNNNNNNNNNNNNNNNNNNNNNNNNNUGUUCACUGUUAUUAGCAUAUCAUUUAGGAUAGGAAUUACGCAUUGCAUAUUUCAAUUUUGUUUCAUUCAUUUAAUCUUUAGUUUAAAUAGAUACAAUCAUGCAUUGCAUUAUCUUUUCAUAUUAGAUUUCAUUUUUACAUUUUAUUUUCCCCACCUAGUUUUUAGUAAAUAAAUACAUAAUUAGGCAUAAUUCUACAAUUCUAUCUUAAUAAGUACCAAGUCCACGGAUUAGACCCUAGGUUGCCCCUAUACUACAUUAGUGGGGAAUUUAGGUUUGUUGAGAUUUUAGGCGACAAAAAAUCCUUUCAACAUAUACUCUUUAAUUUUAUUUGCAUAUCAACUGUUCGAUAAAUUUUCACUUAGAAAAUUUAUUUUACAAACUGACCAUUUUAAUCUUAAAAAGUUGAGUGAACACGCUUUUCUCUACUUUAAGUUUUAUUCCCCUGCGUUAUACUCUAUCUCCGAACGAUAGCGAUUGUUAACCAACAAUAAGCUCAUAACAAUCCUACUAAAUCAAACUCACAACAUUGUUAAUCCAACUCCAACCUAGAGAAACCAUGCCACACUCUCGAUUACUAUCGCUACAUGUUUUCUUCCGUACUCCAGCACACAUGACCUGUUCACCUAAACCGGGCCUACGCACCAACGCAGGACUUUCUCGCAUCAUUUGCUAUUGAGUACGUAAAAAACCACAGGGUUCACAGUCACCCACUAGCAUGACUUAUCAAACAACCCUUAUGGAAAACAACAACUCAACCAACUCAUGUUCCACUCGACACACGUUCCAAUUAACGUUGCAACUACAAUGCAAGAACAACAUUCAAGAACUUUUAGUUUUUUUAAUAUGACAAAAAAUAAGAUAAAAGAGAAUAUUCAAACGAGAAGCUUACUCUAGAUACCAAAUGAUAAGAUCAUGUCUAGGAAAUAGUAUGAUCGUUUCCGAAUUUGAAUCCUUAAGAGAAACAAAAAAAUAAUAAUCAGAGAAGAAUGUGGAAUAAGAUAGGGAUGAGGACACCAUAAUCUAGCAUAUUGAUAAUUUAAGUAAAGAUUCACCAUAAAGAUAUUAAUAUUUGAUAAUAAUCACAAUUCUAAUCCAAGAACCAAGAUAAUCCUCUCUCAAAGAAUGGAAAUGUGUAUAUAUAUAUAUAUAUAUAUAUGAUAUGAUAUGACUUAAAAGUGUCUACAUAUGUAUUUGGUACCCUUAUAUAUAAGCACAAAUGUUUAAGCCACCUAAUAAACUCUUAAGAACCAAGAUAAUUCUCUCUCAAAGAAUGAAAAUGUAUAUAUAUAAUAUGACUUAAAAGUGUCUACAUAUGUAUUUGGUACCCUUACAUAUAAUCACAAAUGUUUAAGCCAUCUAAUAAACCCUAAAAGAGUCCAAAGACAUUAGACCCAAAAAUAACUUGAAAAUUUAAAAACAGAAACUAAUUGUCUGUAAUUAAAAGAAAACAAAUAUCGUUUUAGUUGUCUAAAUUAUUGUAUAAUUAUGCUCUAAGCCAUGAUUUUCAUGUCCCUUGAAUUCCAAUCUUCAUGGAGCAUCAUGAGUCUCAAGGAUAUUUGUUCUUCGAGCUAUUUGUUUCUUGGCCUUGUCAUAGGUCCUUUGAAUUGGAAUGACUUUUCCUCAAGUUCUUCUUUUAUAGGAUCAAGGGAUAGUCCUCUGUCAUAAUCUAUUUUAUAACCAUUGUUAGUCACAUUCAAUAUUUUAAUAAUUCUAAUUCAGGCCCUUAUCAAAUCAGAAUAUUAUCUUAGGGUAUCUACAUAAUAACUUUUUAUGACAAUUAUGUCCUUAAUGGAAGACACAACGUACAAGAAUUUGUUAUCACGUGUGUUUUAUGGGAUGUGUACCUUUCACACAAGUAUUUUUUGUAGAUAAUUUUUCCACACUAUAUUUCGUAAGUAAUGUUUGUAGAUAAUUUUUUACGCUUUAAUUUUGUAGUUAAUUACUAAUGAAUAAUUUUGUAAGUUACGUAUAAUGGUUACCUUUUUUAUGCAACUUAUAGUUUAUGUUAAUCCUCUCAUUAAUUUUUUUUUCCUCUUAUCGACUAAAGUUUAGUAUAUAUACCCAAUUAAGAAAAAUAAAAAUAAAAAUAAUAUUCAUUCUCCUUUUCUUAGUAUUAGAAAAAUAUAAGAUAUAUAAUAUAUGAUAUAAAAUAUAGGAUCUGAAAAGGAUUUAGAAUAUAUAAUGUUAUCGUAAAUUAUUUCAUAUAACAUUAUAAUAAUAUAUAUGUAGUUAUGUUAUUAAUAUUAUUAUAUCUAUGUUUUAUGAUAAAAUAAUAAUGAUUAAAUUAAUUAUGUUAGAGAAACAUUAAAAAUAAAAAUAAAAUAUAUGUAUAAGCUUUUCGUUAUGUUUUUUAUUUUUAUUGUAUUAAUUUUAUCAAUACUCAAGUAUAAUUUAUAUUAGUUUAAAGCUGAAUUUUUCAACUAAAUAAUAUUUUAUGAAACGAAUUUUUAAAAGUACAGACUAAUUUUAUUCUUUAUUAUAUUAUUCAAAACCUGUGAUGGACUGAGAUUGAAGGAUGUAUGGGGUUGUAAAUUUUAGUUAACUUCAUAGUAUUACAAAGGUUUAAUACUUUUUUUUCUCUCGAAAGAGGGGGAAUGUUCAAAUUCAUUAUACCUUUUUUAAAAAGUUAAAAUGGGUCCCAACUUGUGAAAAAACUAUUCAAGUUAAUCUUUUUUUGUUACGAUGUUAAUUUUUUAACAGUGUAGCUGACACCCUGGACAAAACAUAAUGACAUGUUAGAAUAUUUGAGUGUGUGAGGGUGAAAUGACAUGUAAAAAAAUAAAUUGGGAAAAAAAAUAAAUGGCAUGACACUGUACUCUGGGAGGUUAAAAAAACAGGGGUUAGGGUUCGAGAGAAAUCACGAAUUAGGAGUAAACAUUAUGGUGAAAGUGGUGUUCAAAUUGGGGUGUCGUCGAAGCUGAAAUUUGAAGAGCGAAUUCAAAAGUGUAAAUCAGGUUAGUGUUUAUGUUUUAUAAUUUUCCGAAUUUGUGUUAUUGUUUGGUUAUGAUAUUUGUCGCGUUGCCGCGUUUUGGGCGGGGGGGUUAACUACGGGUUAAAUUGUUGUGUGAAAAGUUGUCUUGUUUUGAGGGUUGAUAGUGGUCUCAUAUGUCUUAGUUUAACUUAAUUUAGUGGUCCCCGUUUGCAUUUGCAGGGUUCGAGUUGGGAUGUCUAAUGACAGGUUUCAGGUAGUGGUCCACCACGGUGAGACCUUGAUCAAAGAAGUGCCCUUUAAAUAUAUAGGUGGGGAGAUAGUUUAUUAGGACGUAGCUGACCGCAAUAAAUGGUGUUAUUUUGGAGUAUUAGGUUCACUUAAACAUCUGGGUUACAUUGAAAUACAAGAAUUAUAUUACAAUAUCCAACAUAUUUUACAUAAGCUUUAUGAUGAUAAAGGAGCUAUGGACAUGAUGAAGGUGGCUAAUUAUUUGGGAAAGUAAACCUAUAUGUUGUACAUGGGGUGGACGAACCAGUUGUUGUAGAAAAUUAUGAGAAUGAGAUUAUUUACCUAUGUGAAGGUCCUACAGAGAGUGUUGAGGGUAGUAUCGUUAGAGGAGAAGCACAUGUUGAUGGUGGUGAUGAAGGAAUUGGGGACGUAGAAGUUGAAUUGGAAAAGGAGGUUGAGGAUGAGGGUGCAAUGAAGGUUGAGAAUGAGGAUGCAGUGGAGGUUGAGAAUGAGGUUGCAGUAGAGGUUGAGAAUGAGGAUGUAAUGGAGGUUGAGAAUGAGAGUACAGUGGAGGUUGAGGUUGAAAGUGAAUAAGCAGUGGAAGUGGACAGUGAGGAUGGAGUUGAGGUUGAUAGUCAAGAAGAAGUGGAAGUGGACAGUGAGGAUGAACCAGGAAUGGAUGAUCUGAGUGGUGAUGAAUACGUGGAUCAAGACAGUGAUAAUGAAACCCAACAACAGUAUAGGGGUUUGUCAGAGGAUGACAACAAGGAUAAAUUAUGUGUAGGUCCCUUUUCAAAAUAUGCAAAACAGAAGUCGAUGCCAGAUUAUAGGUGGGAAGUGGGCAUCAUUUUUAGCAAUAAGGAAGACUUUGAGGAUGCCAUUAGAAGGUAUGUUGUUCAUGUUGAUAGGACUCUAAAAUUUGUGAAAAAUGAUAAUCGUAGGAUGAGGGUUAGAUGCAUGGGUGGCUAAGGUAAAUGCCCAUGGGUAGCUUACUGUGGAUAUUUGCCAUCACGCAAAAUUUGGCAAUUGAGAAAGAUAAUUGACACUCACAGUUGUAGUAAGUAACUUAACAAUAAACUGAUGAAUGCUAAGUGGUUGAGUUAGGAAAUAGAUAGGUCUUUAGUUGACAAUCCUAAUCUGAUGUGGAGGGCUGCCAUAUGUACAUAUCCCCAGGCUUGGGAGAGAGAAAUGUUGAAAAUUAAAGAAGUCAAUAUUGAAGCAUAUAAAUACCUCAUAGGCAUUCCCAUGAGGUAACCCAUUGGCCAUUACAUGCACAUUUCAGUCACUCAUGCAUUGUAACCCAUUUUGGAAAUUUUUGUGCAACAGGUUUUGGUCAAGAUCUCACUUCACAGGUCAAACAAUGCGUGAUACCCUAAAUAGCAACAUCAGUGAAGCUUUCAACAAUGUUCUUGUUCAUGCUAGAGGAAAACCAAUUAUCACCAUGUUGGAGGAUACCAGAGUUUAUCUCAUGAAAAGAUGGGCCACCAAUAUAAGUAAGGUGGCAUAUAUGGGCUUCACAAUAUCCCAAAGAUAAAAGAGACUUCAGAAGGAAUCAAAUUUGUCAAGAUUUUGGGUCUCAAGGUAAUAUUAUCAUUUAUGUUCAUAUACAUUUGUCAUUUAUCUUCAUUGUUGAAGUGCUUUAUUUAUUUCAGUUGGCCUGCACAAAAUAUUUUUGAGGUUAGCCACACUUCAGCCGUUGAGAACAAGUUCACACUGGACUUGGACACUAAAAAAUGUAGCUGCAGAAAGUGGAUGAUCAGUGUCAUCCCAUGCUAUCAUGCAAUUGCAACAAUGAACUACUCAAAUGUAGACUCAGAGAAUUUUAUACCCACUUGCUUUAGAAGAUCCACAUAUGAAGAAGUGUAUGCCUCUAUAAUUUUUCUAGUGAAUGACCACCUGCUAUGGGAAAGAACAACCUUCUCUGAUGUACUGCCACUAGUGAAGAGGAAGUUGCUUGGGAGACCAAAGAAAAAAAGGAGGUUGGAGGCAUGAGAGCUAACUAAGGAUGACACUCAAAUGCGUGUUGGUAGACAUAGAAAAAAAUGUAGCAUUUGCCGUCAGAAGGGGCACAACAAGAAUAACUACCCUUUACGUCCCCAGCCAGCAGAAACAACAGAGCUAAUGGAUGAAACACAACCAUCAUAGGCACCUCCAAGUACCCAAACCCUAUACCAUUACAGCCACCAAGUCCCCAAUCAACCCAUCCACUAGUGUUGAGGACAAAAUUAGAUGUUAGAAGAAAAGCUACUUAGAUGAAUUAGAUGUAUUAUGUACUGUGAUUAAGAACUUUAUGUCUUUACUUUCAUGGUGAUGUACUGUGCUUCAUGAACUUUAUUUAAGUAUCUUGGUCAUAAGUUGUACUCAUAUUUUGCUCAUGUACUGGUAAUAUAUAUGUAUGGUAAUGAAGGAAAGUGCUUUGAUGAAUUAACCUAUACUCAUAAUUUCUUAUUUCUUCAUAAUCUUAUGUUAACAGUUUUGUCAUCAUCAUAUACAUUAUUGGCUUGACCUAUGUGAAUAUUUUUAAAGCAAAUGGGAGAUUGAUUCGAAUAUUCUCCACUGAAUUUAACUCAUUAAAAUAGUCAAUGCUACGUAAUACAUUGCAUGACUGAUCUUACACCAACCAAAACACCUUGACAUUGCCAACCUACUUUUUUCAAGCAUCCAAUACAUUACAUGAAUGUCAACAAAACAUAAAAGAAACACCCAAUUUCCCCACCUCAGAACCUGAAAGUCACAAGGUUCAGCGUAAUAUACACAAACAAAGCUACAACUAACAACUUCAUCCUUUUCUUCAAAUCCUUCACUACAUUUUCCAGAUCACUUAUCCUCCUCACAAUUGUACAAUCUUUUUCAUCAACGUUUUUUUUCAGAACACCGCUUGAAAAAGUUACACGAGCUCCCAAUUGAAGAUCCACCCUAUUAUUCACCAAGUUAGGGAAUCUAUCACCAAAUGCAUAAAGUGAAGAAAACAUAAACUCGGAAGGGUAUACUUAAAACCUUGUAAUGAGAACAUCUCCAAAAAUUUCUGCCAGCAUUCUCCGUAGUUCCCGCGACUUUGGUUACAACAAUAUUACCACAGUAACAAAUAGGGAUUAUCCCACCUCCCCUCCAACCAUCACCAUGAGACAAACGCGAAGAUCCUUUGACCCAACUUUUCGAAAACGAAGAACACCCUUGGGAAGAAGCCAUUCCUAUCUCGCCCCAAACACUUUUCUCACCUCAACGACUAAGUUGGAGGAACCUAAACCCUAACCCCUCUUUUUUUAACUUCUGCCACGUUAUCUAUUUUUUUUUUCACAAUUUUAACCUCAAAUAGUCACACGGUCACAUAAAAUAGACACGUCAUUAUGUUUUGUCCAGGGUUCAGUUACACUGUUAAAAAAUUAAUGUCAUAACAAAAAAGAAUUAAUUUGAACAAUUUUUUCAUAAGUUGAAACUCUUUUUAAUUUUUUUAAAAAAAGUAGGACGAAUUUAAAUAUUCCCUAUUUUUCAAGGAAUCAAAAGAGGCAUUAAGCCUAUUAUUAACAUUGAGUUUAAAAGUUGAAAUUUGUUACAUUAUAGUUUUUAUGAUUUAUAACUUCUGAAAAUGUAUAUGUAUGAAGAUUUUUUUUAAAAUAAUAACUUGUAAAGGAACUGUUAUAACAAUAUUUAAAAAUUAGGUAAAUAAAAAUCACUUUCCAUAUAAGGUUUUUUUCUUCUUUUUGUGUUAAAUUGAUAUCUUUUAAGAAAAUAUAUAGUAUUUUUAUCUGUAAAACGUUGAUUAUGGACUGAAUUCUUUUCGGUAUAUUUUUUUGAAAUAAUAACCUUUCACUACUCUAUUUUUUUUUCGUAAAAAUUCCAUUUUAGUUCAUAUUUUAUAGGAUGAUAAAAAAAUUAUGACCUCUUUCAAAAGACAACAACAUCAAGUAAUUAUUUUUAAGCUAAAUAAAAUUAUUAUGAACUAUAAAUUUUUCAAUGUUUAACUUAUUUGUAUAUUAUAUUCAAACUCGAGGUCAUGUAUUAAAUAUUCAUAUAUAAAUUGAUUCAAGUGUUUAGUAAUAAACUCUAUUUAUUCUUAUAGUAAUCCUAGUUGUAGACAAGUUGUUCUUGUGUGACAUGGAUAUAAAUAACCAUGUGGAACUUGUUUUCCCUGUUUUUUUUUUCUAAUAACAUGUGCCUAGUUCAAAUUUGUUGGCCCCUUUCUAAACAUUAUCUGGGCCCAAAUUGGAAAUGAAUAGUACUCCAGUCCUAUGUAAAAUGAUUGACUUCUGUUGACUAAUUUUUAUUUUUGUAUAUAAUAUUCUUCUUCUUUGAGAUUGAUCAGAAGCAUGCCUAAUUCCUAGUUACAAUUUUAAUAUGAUAAAAAAAGUGACUCAUUCUUUUUGCAUUAAAAUUAUAAAGAAGACUAAUUCCCUAUAUAACCCUAUAUGUUUUAGUUAGAUCUUUGCAUUAAUUAUGCACUUUAAGUUUCACUUUUCCAAUUCAUGGCUUGUGGUACUUCUAAGAAUGAUGAUACAAAUCAUGAAGCAGAAAAGAAAGAGAAUAUAAUCACAUUGAAAAGUUUGUCUGGUGGACUAUUGAUUUUUCUGUAACGUGUAAUAUUGUGUCAUGUACAAUGUUGACUAUAUAUGCAGAUUACGUGCUCAAAUUAUUACUUACAUGAAUUCAUAAACAGUAGCCAUGCGCAUAAUGUUUCAUUGCUUCGUCGCUUUAAAACAUGUAACAUGUAAUUAAAUUUAUUAAUUCCAAGCACUAGUCUGAAAAUCUAAAUUUUACGUUGUAAUUUAUUCUUAGCUUUAAUAACUUAAAGUUUGACAUCAAACUAUUCCUAUUGUUAACCUUUUAUUCUUUAUAUUUCUUCAAAUUUACUUUAAUUGUUCUAUCAGAUAUAUUCAUUGAUAAUUUAUUGUUGAUUUAAUUUACCCACAAAUAAAUUCGUCAGUAAUUUAUUUGAUGAAAUCAAAUUUAUAUUUGAGAUUUUCUUUUCCUAAUUUUAUUUUUUGCUUUUUUUAAAAAUAGUCUACUUUGUAACAUUAUUUCUUUGUAUCAUUAGUGUAGGGCGGAGGUGAGUGGAUUCAAGUUCUGAUCGGGUUGUAGUUCAAUGGGAAAUAACCUAUGUUAUAAUGUUUUGCAAUUUGGAGAAAGGAUACAAGGGACACCUUGAGUUUGUAUGUUCUCAUAAAAGAUAUAAUAUUAGAUUUUUUUUUUUCUUGUGGAUGGGUAUUGGUACGUGGACAUUGGGUAUGUACGGAUUAUGGUAUCAAAGUUUGUUGUUAUUGGUCGUGUGGUCUCUAAUUACUUUCUUACUUGGUAUGGUUGUUUCAGAGGUAGGGCAUUUACGUUAAAUGUUUUCCAUGGUGUUGGGUGGGGUUACCAUGGUUUUUGUCAUUGCUAUCACAAUAUCUCCUAUACCAUCUUCCUAUACUGUGAUGGUGUGCUCAAGAAAGUCUUGUUUUUGUAAGUAGGUCCUAUUUUAGUAAUUAGGAGAGUGUUGUAGGAUGAACAAGACAUGUUUUGAUAAACAAGAUCAUGGAAGUCUUGCUUUGGAAAGUGUGCCCUAUUUUAGUAAACAGAUCAAGUUGCUCGAGUAUGGAAGAGAACAUAGUAAAAGAUGGUGAUAACAUGGUUUGCUUGGAUUAAAGUUGGUUUGGCAUGGUUUUGUUGUGUGGUGAUUUAUUUGAAAUAAGGGCAUAAUGAGGUUAGAUAUCAAUUUUAAUUAUAUCAUUAUAUGUUGUUUUGAUGUUUAUUUUGUUAGUUCACCCUUACGUUUUGUGGUUGUGGUUUCCGCUUUGAUGACCAUAUUCAUACGAGAGCAGAUAAUAUUACAAAGGUUGAUGUUGAUGGUACUAAUGUGAUGUAGAAUGAGAGACGGUGGAGAAUGAUUCUCGAAGUUUCCAAAAAGUUAUUUCUCUUUUUAAUUAAUCAUAAGGAGUCUUGGUACAUUAAUUCCAGUUGUAAUUGGAUUAUUUAUUGUUAUAGCAUAAACUUUAUUAUUUUUAUGACAACAAAAUAAAUUUUUAAAUUUUCACUACAUUGAGGUGGUAUCAUAAUUUUAUUUAAUUGAUGUCUUUUGUGUUUGGUUGGGUUAGAUUUUAAUAGGGUUGUUUCCUUUUGUCAAAGGUUAUUGCGGUAGUAAUGUUUUAACUUAUAUGUUUGACUUGCAUUUUGGGCUUACAAUGUUGAUAUUAGUUGUCUUGCUUCUAAACUCCAUAUUGUAAUUUCUUACAAAACAAAAUCAUGAUCCCUACAAACUGCAUUGUUUAUGUUUUCUAAAACUUAUAUAAGAUAAAUUGUGAGUAUGGUGGACGAUUUAAAUGGGGAUUGUAUUUUGCAGAAAGAUGAAUAAAUAAGUCUUGAUCGUUUAAUUGCUUAUAAUUCAAGAUAUCUCUUUUAUAUCUUUUGUUUUGAUUUUUAGGCUAGUUAAAUAGCUACCUUUAAGAUGAUUUAUAAUUAAGAGAUGUUGGAAAAAGAAUGGAUUAGUUUUAACACCUAGAAGAUGAAUUGGUGAAAAUAAAAAAUCAGAAUCUUUUCAAAAUCUUUUUCACAAAGUGUAAACCUUUCAAAAGUUUCUUGAAUCUCGUAUGAAAAAGAUAAAUCAAUGCAGCAAAAAAUAGUUGACGAUACUGAAAAUAUAGUCGACUUUAAAAUAAAGAGAUCAAGGAUAGAGAAAUUCAAACAUAGUUUUUAUACUAGUUCGACCAAACUGCCUACAUCCAGUGUCCUUCCUCUAACCGAAAGCAAAUGCACUAUAAUGGUCAAGGUUUUUACAACAAGGUUUCUAUAGGGACCUUCAUGUCAAAAUAUAAAACACCUCUCUAACCCUCUAACCAAAUAUAGGCAUACAACACCUAAAAAACAACAAGAUAUCCCCUCUCCUACAGUCUUUGUCAACUUUGAACAAUCCUCAAAGUUUUCCUAGCUCUUCCUGUAAUCACAAUAGGGCAGCCACAAUCUUCACAAGAUUGAGAGAAGUAGAUGAUCACGUUUCCAGUACACCUCAAUGUGCAGUAUGAUCAAGCCUUUCUUUCAACACAACCUUGCUCGUUAAAUAACUAUCCAAGAGAGAUCUCCACGGUCUUCUUUAUAAGUUCUUAGAGCUUUUCACAAAGAUCAAAAUCUGAAACAAUAGAAUGAAAUUGCUAGAAUAACCAAAGUCCCUGUGUAAAACAGAAUCACGUCUAUUUAUAGUUUUCUGUAAAAAAGACGCUCUUGUAGUCGACUUCACUACUAAUCCAGUCGACUUCAGUCAAACAAUUAAAAUAGUUAAAACCAAUUAGUAGCAGUCAGACCAACCAAAUUGAUUGGGCAUUUAAUUCAGUUGACUUGCAAUUAAUGCUUUGUCAAAUAGACAAUAUAUAGCUGUUAUAGUUCACAAACAUUAACAGAAAUUCAAAACAUAACUAACUAAGUCGAGUUGCCUACGUAGACAGUCGACUAUGUCACUUCAAUGUAGUUUUGAAAAUCUUUCCUUUGCAAAAAUACUCACAACACUGUUUUUGAAAAUUUGUGCAAAGUCACGAGUUUUAAUCGACUUACUUCAUAAUGAAGUUGACUUAAAACUUGCAGUUUUGCCACACAAUAUAAGUUCAACCAAGUGCAUGUGGUUUUCUUUUCUAAACACAUAUGUAAUGAAAUCACAGAAGAUAUCUCAUGUAAAGAUCAGUGAAUAUGCACACAUAUACAAAAUUAACACAAACAUGUUCUUCAAGAAUUCAUACACAAUAAAGUUUUGAACAUGUAACACAUAUCAAUACAUGUGUUAUUAAUAAUGUGUUGUCAUCAUCAAAAACCAAAAAUACUGUGAGAUUAAGGUUUAGCUAAACCAGUACUUCCCUUAUCAACAAUCUCAACAAGAGAUGUGGGACCUAAACCCUGUUUAAACAUUACAUUUCAUAUUUAAGAUCUCUGAGUCCUAUAUCCCUUAGUUUACUCAACCUACUUCCUCUACUACACCUACAUAGGCAAACCUAAGGCUUCCUUUGUAUUUGCAUUAAAUUGCAUUUCUUCUUUAAGAUACAAUUUAUCUCUUAGUUUGAAUUUUGGGUCUUAUCUUGUAAAAAACAAGUGGCAAUCCUUCCUUAUUAUUCCAUAUCAUGUAAGAACUAAACAAAUAAGAACAAAAAUGAAAUUAAAAGGUAUAAAAUGAAAAGGAGAAAAGGAAAAGAAACUUAGGAAAUUGAAGCCACGCUGUUUGGAGGGAUCCAAUAUAAGUGCAAGGGAGGAUCAUAAUUUGUUCUUUAAAAGAUAAGUCUCAAAAUAAUUUAGACUAAAAGAUAUAUUAUCUUAAAGAAAAAAUGUAAUUUAAUGUAAAUCGCUUUAAUUUUCAUUUAGUGAAAGGUUUAUUACUACAAAUGAGGCCUUAGGUUGCUUAUAUAGGUGUAAGAGAGGAAGUAAAUUAAGUAAAUUAAGUAAAUUGAAAGAUGUGGAACUUGGAGAUCUUAAAUUUGAAAUGGAACGUUAUAAACAGGUUUUAGGUACCACAUUUCUUAAUUCUACAUUACCCUAAAGAUAUAUAAGCUACCCAACUAGUGUAAAAAUCAAAACUAAAGUUAUAUCAUAGAUAACUUGAAUUACAAGCAACUAAAAGAGGAAAACUUUUUUAUUAUUUUUUCUUUUUAGUCCAAACUAUUUGGAGUCGCAUAUUGAUUGCACUUUAAAGAAAAAAAGGAUCUAUAAGUAUCUCUACAACCAAACUAAGGAACUAGCAAGGCAAAAUACAAACCUAUGAAAAUCUAUGCUAAUAAAGGCCAAAAUACAUGUUAUAAAACCUAUUCUAUUCUUUUCAUUUCUUCAUGUUUUCCUUAUGUCUUGAGCCAUUUAUGAUCACAUCAGAUCAGCCCAAUGAAAAGGGGUGAACUCAAAAGCUAAUCUGAGGUUGUUCACAAAGGGUGAACUCAGAAUUAUAGGUAGGGGUCAAAGACCCUGUUAUUUUCUUCAUUCUGUCUUUCUUGUGGACAUCUUGGUGCCCUCGUAAUGUUGUGAGAUUGCAUUUUAGUGCAUUCUGUUUUCAAGUCAUAGCAUGCUUUGUAUUGAUUACAAAAUGUAGUUUUAAAGUACAUGGACAUAAGGGUCUAUAUAAGAAAAUCCAGAUUUAGAUAAAGCCGUGUCUCAUGGAAUGUUUGCAAAUAAAGAAACUGUUUUUGGCACUGUAGUAGAUGCACGUCAAACUUCUUAGUAAAAAAGGAUUCACUGUGAUUUAUUUAAGGUGAUAUCAUAUGUCUUGCUUCUAAAGUAUGCUUUAGUAAUUGUUUUUACGUUGCAUGUUGCUGUUGAACGUGGAGUAAAAUUUUGAGUAGUAGACAGAGAAGAAAAGUGGAUCCCCUAUCACUUUCUUAUGAUUCAAUAGUGGUUUUCAUACAAAUAGUAGCGAACACACUAUAAACUGAAGAACUUUGUAAUUAAAACAGCUUAAACUCAAACCAAAUCUACUCUAGGAAAGCAAUAAAAUCUACCAAACUAGCUUUGUAGUGAAGGCAGGUUCAUAACAUUAGAGAGAAGGAAAACUCAGAACUGUAAAAUCUGGAAAAGGUUUUCUUAUUAGUCACUAUGUGGUUUUCAUCCAUCUCUAAUUUUGAUAUUCGCAUUCCGGUUCUGCAACACCCCGGACUCAUCAUUUCUAAUAGCAUAUGGCAUAUUACUGCAAUAUCUUCGCACUGGUUUUUUAUUACAUUAGUCUACUACAUCAUUUAAAUUGAAGAACUUUAGUUCAAAGUCAAAAGGAAUAGAUAAUUUGGUAGAAAGAAAAAAUGAGGUAAAUUAGGAGUUAUGAUUGUAUUCUGUUGAACAGUACGUAGCAUCAACUUAUGGGCUUUGCAAGUUUAUUGGAAGACAGGAUAUGAAUGACAUAGCACGGGGGAAUCUAUUGAUUGAUUUUCUUCACUCUCGGUUCUUUGCUUAUUGGUAUAACAAUCAAAGAAUAUUACACCCCGAUUGUACUUUAGUUUAAGUCAUAGGGAAAAUUCUCAGCUAAACUUUAAUGGUUGCAGAAGAGUAAUAUAUAUAUAUAUAUAUAUAUAUAUAUAUAUAUAUAUAUAUAUAUAUAUAUAUAUAUAUAUAUAAAGACCAUAUCAAUUUGAAUUGUAAUGUGUAACAGCAAUAGGUGGUAUAAAGUGAAAAUAGAAACUUCCUCAUUUCUCUUUAUGCAAGUGAUAAAAUAAAUUGGAGAAAGAAUGAGUGUGUGAGAGAAAAAGAAUGGAGGAUUCAUGCAAGUUGUGGUAAGAUGCAUUGUUUCAUGUGUGGGGUCGGGAAUGAAUAGGACACUCCUUCACACUUUCUAUCGCGCUUGUUUGGAUAAUUUUGUUCGUCUUUUGUUAAAGUCCUUUCUGGUUAAUGUUCCAAACCGCUCGAGGAUACUUGUCAAAGGCAUUUCGAUGCUUAAGUCAUUAAUUAAUCCAGACGAUGGUUAGAGCAAAGUCAUAAAUUCACAAUAAAUAUGAUCACUUACUUUUUAUCUUUGACCUCUAUUUAUAGUUUUAGAGAUGGGCUUAAGAUUAGCAAAACCCUAAUCACGACCCCAAUCUCGGUCCAUUAUCUACUAAUUAACACUUACUCUUAACCUUGUCUAUUUGGUCUUUACCCACAUUCGGCCGAGCAAUCAUCGUCUUAUUUUGUUCAAUUUCAUGGGUUCAGACAUAUUCGAUCGGUCAUCCCUCAAUGGCUCUUUCUGCCCGGUCUUAGCUAUGUUGUCAUCUGGCCAUACAGUACAAAGGCCUCCCAAGCCCUAGCCAACCCUGGGUGGCGUUGGAUUUGAUACAUGGGUGGUGUGGAGUAGGUCUCGUGGCUAUGGUUGGAGCUUCCCCAUACGACGUGAUUUGAAUUUGUGGUAGUGGUGGGAAGACACUUGUCUUAUUAAUUAUGUGUUGUCAUCAUCAAAACCAGAAGAUCUCUGAGAUUGUAAGGUUUGGCUAAAUAAGUGUUCCCUCUAUCAAAAAUCCCAACAACCUUCAACAAAGAAAGGUCAAACCUUCAACACAAAAGAAAAAGGACACACCUUGAACUAAGAGUACAGAGAGAACAGAGGAUUGGAGAGAGAACGGAGAGUGGAGAAAGAACAACAAAGAAGUUGAAUUAUAGAGAGAGAAUGAACCCUCUUUUUCUGAAUGAAAAAAGCAAGGGUAUUUUGGAAUUCAUAAGUGUAAUAUGAUUACAUUUUCCCACGUUACCUUUUUCAAAUAAAAAAUUUAUUUUAACCUUCUCCAAUACUGUUUUUAGACAUGGCAAUUGUGAAAAAGUUAUAAAAAAAAGGUUUAAUGUCUCGAUAAGUCCUUAUUUUCGUCCUGAAUCUCAAUUAGGUCCCUUUUUUUUCGACUUCUCGAUUAGGUCCUUAUUUUUGUAAAAUUGAAUCAAUUGAGGGUCUACCGUCAAAUUAAACAAACUGUCGUUUAAAUUUACUGACGUGACAUUAAAAACGAAUUUUAUAUUAAAAAUUUGAAUUACACAAGUGUGAAUUCAAAUUUAAGAAAGGGCAAAGUAGGCAAAAUCUAAAAUUUAAGUGCAGCCCCUAACUUCAAUCUUCCAUGUUCAUUUCAUUCAACUCAAAAUUAUAUUCUGUUCAUCAGCAUCCUUCCCAAAUUCCAUCAACGUUUCCCUGUCCUUAUCAUACAGCGGGCACUCAUUCUCCAACUAACAAAGUUGGACUACCAACUUAUCAAACUCCAGUGCCAGUCUAUGAUUCUCCUCCACGAAUUUCUUCAAAACUUGCACUCGCUUCAAACUGCUCUAAAAUACCCAGAAUUCCCAUCAUCAAAUUUUCAAAAAAAAGAAAAUGAAAGAUAAAGAUUCAAAAGACCAAUCUUGCAUAAAACAAAAUCAAAUGCAACCAAAACAAAAAGUAAAAAGCCUUCCAAUUCCAACAUUAAUAAACAACCAGUACAUGAUUGGAUUAAUGUGAGUAUUUCAACAAUUUACUGAAGCUUCACAAUUGAGAUUUCCCAAAUGCAGAUUAAAAAAUGAUGAUAAAAGCAAACAAAGAGGAGCGGACCUCACCUCGUCCACAUUAAAAUCCCGAUCAAUUAACCGGUGUCCUGAGUUCUCCAAUUCAGAAACCCUAACGCUCCUUCGAGUUUCUUUCGACACUUUCGCGACGGCGGAGUCCAAAUCCUUGCGGAGGAGCGUCCCUCCCAUGAUGAAUCCCUCUUGUUCGAAGGCAAAGAGCGUCUUGGACUGCGACGGAGAAGAACAAAAUGGAAAGGUGAGACCUUGAAGGAAAUGUAAAUGUUAUUGAUGGUGGCCAAGUCGUUGAAGGAGAUGACGUUGAAUGGAGGAUGCAGAUGAUGUUGACUGGCUUCAUUACUGAGAAGGAGUUUUAGGGUUUUGAAAGAAAAGGGGUUAAUGGAAGAAGAAAAGAGGUUUGUCUUUUUUGCCCCUCUGAACAUAUUUGAUUUAACUUUGCUUAAUUAUUUUUUAAUAUAAAAAUUAAUUCAAAUUUAUUUUUAAUGCCACAUAAGAUAAAUUUAAACGGUCGUUUGUUUAAUUUAACGGCAAGUCUCUAAUUCUUCAAUUUUACAAAAAUAAGGACCGAAUUGAGAAGUUGAAAAAGAAAUGGACCUAAUUAAGAUUCAGGGCAAAAAUAAGGACUUACGGAACUAUUAAACCUAAAAAAAAAAGUUGUUAACUUAUCGCGAUCCACAAUCAAUAAAUCUCCUUUAACACGAAAACUACCUAAAAGCAAUAUCUAUAACUUAAUGUAGUAAGGAAUUUUGACCAAUAAUUUUUUAGACACAAAGUAAUAUGCUUAAACUAAGUAUAAUUUCAAUGUCUAAUCUCUAUGCAAACUAGUAGAGUCCAUUCUCUACCUAUUGUAAGGUAGUGUGGUGUUUUUAUUACACCACUUUUACUUUGCACGUGGGUAAAUGAUAUAGAACAAUUAUAUUUUUUGUAAUCACCAACAAGACCAACCCCUAACUCUGCUAUCAAAUAAAAAAGGACGGAUCUAACAAUGUGAUUAAAGGAAUUUGAGUAACCUCCACCGCUAACUCAACAUGCAAGAGUUCAUUUUCAAAUGUAUUUAGAAGUCUAUAUCACAUAUAUUCAACUAUAACUUCAAUUACUCAAAAAGCAACUUGAGCUGUAAGGAGUGCAAUGGGAAAACUCCAACCUAGAAAUCAAAACAAUAGAAACAAAAAUACAACCAAACUUAGGCAAAGACUAAAUUAGUUGAGAAAGUUAUUUUUCUCAAUUUAUAAAGUAUAAAAGAAAAAUUAAAUGGAUUUUUGAUGCAAAAAAGAAAUUUUAAUUUGAAAAGAAAAUUCAUAGGAUAGAAAUGGUAUUUUAUCAUGCUAGUAUAAGGUAGGAUAUGAUUAUGAAAAUGGAGCAUUGGAGUGAGACACUAAAAGAAAUAUUAGAGAAAAACAAACGUUUUUGCAUGCAUGAGAAAGAGAGAAUGAGGGGGAAGUUUUACAAUUUUUUAACUCAAAAAUUUGGGUUCCAUCUUUAAUUUUGUUUAUAUUUUUUUACAUUUACCAAACUAAAUUAUAUAUGUAUGGUCACAAAUGAAAUUAGUAAAUUUAGGAAUAAAUAUAAAAAUCACAUACUUUCAAAAAUAGAGAAACCAAAUGUCUCACCCGGUUUAUUCAAUCAUAAAUUGUAAUAGUUGGUACCUAAUGUUUUAACUAUAAUGUUUUAAUUAAUUAAAAAUAUAAAAAUAUUUAAUAACUUUAACUUUUAUAUUGAAUACUUCUUCGUUUAAAAAUAUGAUUUCAAAAUAGUAAUGUUUUCCCUUCCGAACAUAAAAUUCACUUCAAUAGUUUUCUAAAAUAAUACAGAAUUAUUCACUGUUUUUAUAAUCAUAUUAAAGAUUCGUGUAUUAUUUUAUCUUAAGUCCGUAAAAUAUCAUAUCGGUCGUUUAUCGACGAAAUAGGCGAAAACUGGAAAGCAAAGACUGAAGGGAUAUGUUUUGCUUAGCGAUGAAGGAAAUCUAUAUUACAAAUAAAUUAAAAAAACAAUGUCAUAAUCAAUUAAAUAUAAGAAAAAAAUAGUAAGAACCUGAUUCUAUUUUAUUUUCAUUGAAUUAACAUACCUAUAUAUUUUUGUCUGUGUCUGAAGUAGAUUCUAUUUAUACAUUCUACGAAUCUAAUACUGAUUCUGUGUUAACAUCAUACUUCAUUUUUGUCUGCCAUAAGCAGAUUCUGAUUAUAGCUGCAAUUGCAAAUAUAACAUGAUUGAGGUUAUACUUGCAACAUAACGAAAUACUUUCCCAAAAGGGCUCUUAUUUUCGUAUUGGCCCCAAAGGUUUUGGAAUAACAGCCCAUUACAAAAGAUACUUUAUUCUUUCUUUCUUCAAUCACUUUUAUUGCAGGAGGGCAGUUUGAGAUCUAUUUAGGUUAAACUCAUUCGGAGGUAUCUAUUUUUGUGUUUUUGUUUCACUUACAUUUCUGUCUUUUAUUCUUUCACCAAUUAGAUUCUUAAGAUUGAAAAAUUGAAAGAAUUUGACCUUUGCCGUUAAAUCAAGCUAACAGGAUUAACUUUCAGCUUACAUGUAAGGGUGAGGUGGAUAAAUAUGAUCACGUGGCGUGCACAGAAGGGUUUGUUUAUGUACGUGGCAUUAAAUUUAAAAAGUAGGGGUUUUGUUAAACAUUUUAAAAUUAGGGUUAUUUUAAAAUACAAUUAGGAUUAAAUCUCUUUCAGUAGUGGAGUGGUGGUUCCAACAGCACCGACUCGUCAUCACUGGCGAUGUCUACGGCUCAUCCUCAGUUGCGCCUCGGUGCUACUUCUACCGGUCUCUCCACCGUCAAGUGCAUGCAAAACGUGGCCGCCAAAGCCGUCGCGCAACGCCUCACUCGUGUCAUGGCAUCUCAGAACGCCAUCAUCGACGAAGGUGAAGAUGACGAUGAUCUCGAUUUCCGGUUCAGCGCUCCGCCUCCUACAUCUAUUUCUUCUUUCUCCAUCAACGCCAUCAGUAACAGGAGCACCAACACAAAUGCCUCCACUAUUCCUCCGAUUUUGGUUGCCAAGCCUAACAGAUCUACUUCUCCUACGAUAACUCUCUCUGCAAUUCGACACUGUUGGGUAUGUCACUGUUUGUCCAGAAUUUCAGGAAGAAAAUAGAAGAUAAACGUCACGCUAGAGAGAAAAAAUCACCAUGGUCGCGAACCGAACAGUGAGAAGGAAUUCAAAGUGAGCGCGUUGAAUGAAGAGAAAAAAAAAUAAAGUGAAUAAGAUUAACUGAAUAAGGAAUCCACCUUGUGGUCGCGACUACGGUAUUUGAACUGGCGAGGGAAAUAACGAAGGACGUAACUAAGGCCGUCAUCGGAGAGAAACAUCUCUGGUGUUAGUUUGGGCCUUGUUCGAGGAAGUUUCUUGGGCUUUUCGGUUGUGAAUCUGGGCUUGAAAGAAAAGGAAGAAGGAUUGGGAGUGGGAUUGGUGGAGGCGUUAGGGUUUGGAUUGGAAUUGGGAGCAGAGAAAGGACAGUCUCGUGACCAAUGACCUGGUCUGCCACACUUGUAACAGCCUGUGGCGGUUGCUGUUCCUUUUCCUCCAUUUUUUCACUUCUCACUGAUCACUCUCCUUUCCCAACACACCAUCUAUCUGUGGUGCGAUGGUGCUCCACCUGGACAGGAUAGAAUGCGGUGAUAGAGCUACGUGGUACAAGCAACUGUUAUCGGCAAUACUGCAGCAAUGAUUUUGAUGAUUGAGUGUCUGGUGCAGGAGGUGGUCGUCGGCGACGGUGUGGUAGCGAUCUAGGUGGCGCGGCGCAAAUAGUGAAGUAAGGAAGUUUUAGGGUUUAUGGAAGGAAGAAGGAAGAAUUUUCAGUUAUUUUAAAAAAUUUAUUCAGAAUAAAAAUUAAAUAAUACAAAUAAUUAAUAAUAAUAAUAAUAAUAAUAAGGUUAAGAAACACUAAUUUUUUAAUUCUUUGUUUAAGAUACUGACACGUGUAUAAUAAAACCAACGUAACAGGUUCUGUGCACACCACGUCACCAUAUUUGUCCACCUUACCCUCACAGGUAAGAAAAAAGUUAACCCCGUUAACUUGAUUUAACGUCAGGGGUCAAAUUCAUUCAAUUUUCCAAUCUUAAGGACCUAAUUGGCAAAAAAAAAAAGAUGAGGAUGCAAGUGGGACAAAAACACGAAAAUAGGGACCUCUGAAUGUGUUUAACCAUCUAUUUACCUGUAUUGAUGUUAAUUGAAGAGAAGGUGCUUAUUAAAUAAGUCUACUAAGUUCAUGGGGUACCAUAAUUGAGAUCUGGGACACUAGAUUGGUCGAAGAACCUUUAAUGAUUGGAUUGUGAAUAGGUGUAUGGUAAGUAAAAGUCUAUAUAAAUAUUAUAAAUAAAAAGUUUAAGGUAAUUGUUCACUUUUACUGCAACAUUUAGUAUAGCCUUUGGAUCAAUACUAAUUUAAGCAUCAGAGUGUAAUCUAUAAGUACACUUCGAACGAUUUGGACAACUUGAGACCUUAAGUAUUGAAAGGAGCUGAAAAUUGAAGUUAACCUAAGACCGAGACAUAUAGGAAAUGGAAAUGCUUGACCAAUCUAACAGAAACAUUUUUGUACCCACCGUGGGACCGAACGAGCACUUUUUUGCUGCUAUGGUAAUCACAAAGAACAUGACAAACAAUGAAGUACUAGAGGAGCAGCAUGUGGAUCCUAUGGCUAUGAUGCACGACAUGAGAAGGGAGAUGGAGACUAUGAGAAGGAAGCAUGAAGGAGAGAUGACAAUUUUGCACACAGAAAACACACUUAUGAAACAAAAACGGAAACUAAGGGACAUGUACAAUCCACCCCAACUCAACUUGGACCAACCAAACAACCAAGAAUCGAGCAUGAUCGAACAGUUCAGAAGAAAAAUUAUGGAGCUAGUAGAGAUCACAACCCAUCUGUCACUGUCACGGUAGACAUGUCUGGGUGCACCCGUUUACUAGUGGAAUCAUUAAGACCCCUUUACUAGACAAUUGGAAGAUGUCAACGUUUGACAAGUAUGAUGGAUCCACGAAUGUUAACGAGCACAUCAACAUUUGUCUAACGCAGUUGGUGUUAUUCACGUCAGAUGAUAUCAUUUAGUGCAAGGUAUUCCCAACAUCACUAAAAUGAGCCAUCCUCGAGUGGUUCAAGCUUCUAUCUGUCAACUCCAUCGGCUGCUUCGCCACAAUUAGAACGAAAUUUAGAACAUAAUUCACCACUAGCCAACAACAUCAUCUAACGUACAUAGCGCUUGUCAACAUUCGACAAUACAAAGAUGAAAUCCUCUGAACAUUCAUAGAUCAAUUUGGAAAGAUAUCUUCACAAAUAAAGGACCUAAGUCAUAAAGUGCCUAUGCAUCAGAUAAUUCACCAAAAAAACUUGUGGGAUCGUUCCCCAAUAGCCUGUUAUGCAGUCUACCACAAAUUUAGACGAUUUGAUAUAGAGAGUAGCAAAGUACAUGCAGCGAAAGGGCUUGAAAGGCUUUCGAAAGCAAAUGCGACUAUAAAGAGCAAAUGUAAAUAAGGGUACAAAUAAAAAAUCAUUCACCAAGAAUCAAGACUCAAAGUUACGGAGUCAAUCAGAGGUCCCCACUUCCAUAACCACACACCAUCGAACAAUGGUUGUUCGAAAAUCCUUUGGGAAGCUCUAAACACAUACUUGUUACCAUCACCUAGAAGAAAGGCAACCCUGUUGAACCUUGAUAGUAAUAAACAUUGUUAAUAUCAUCAUCACUUAGGCCAAAACAACGAUGAGUGUCUACCGCUAAAAUAUAAAAUAGAAGAGUUCAUCCAACUUUGACAGUUAAAGAAGUUUGUCAAAAUUGAUUAAACCCCUACCAUAGAGAAGAACCCCUAAAUGAGCAGUAUCAAUGUACAAAUAGUAUAAGGAGCAGCCUAGGUGAAGAAGCCGAAGUAAGAACAAGAGUCGGGAUGGUCCAUCGAGGGAAACAAUCAACACAACCUAAGGAGGUUUCGCUUGAGGAGGGCACACAAUAUUUUCCUAAAAGAAUCACAUUUGAGCAAUUAAAAUGAUGAAUCUCGUAGAGAAGAGAGUUAGAAGCACGCCCUUCAUCACAUUUUCUAACGAUGAUUAUAAAGCGCCUGACCCUGACCAAGACGACUUGAUGGUCAUCUCAAUCCAGCUAGCCGACUAUGCUAUAAGCAAGAUUUUGGUCAACCAAGGCAGACAAGAAGAAGAAGGAGUUGUGCUUACAACCUUCACGGCUUCCCCCGACCGAUUAGCAGAUUCCUCUUGCUCAACAAGUUCAACAGCAGCUUUGAAGAAAUUCUUCUUUAGAUUGUGGGAUGCCAUAAUCUCUGAAAGACAACAAAAAAUUUAGCUAGGUUAAAAUCAAGUCAAAAACAAACGACAAAAGGAAUGCCAUAUCGAACACCUCAGUACUGAGGUCCUCCCCACCAAGGCAAUUGAUUAUCUUUGAGGAAGGGAGCUGGCGAGGCAAGUCAUCAAGAACAUUGAGUGCCUCCUGCUCGGCCGGAGUCAUAUCUGACUGUAACCAGGAAGUCACCCAAGUAGGGUCUUCGGUCUAGUACAAAGAAAAUUUUGGUCACUCGUCUUCCCCAAAGAAUAGUAGAUGGCCAAACUCGGUUAAUUCUACCUUAAAAAAUUUAUCAUUGAAGCCCUUGAAUGAAAGAGAAUAAAGCUCAAAUAAGGCUUUCCCUUGCUCGAAGAUCGGGGCGACCCAACCGCGUUUCGGAAUAUGUCAGGUCCAAAAGUAGUGAAGAAAAAGAGCGCGGGUGUAGGUGUGAGGUCCAACACUUAGCAAACGAUGGCGAAGGCCUGAAUAUACCCCUAGUUAUUUGGAUGCAGUUGGAAUGGGGCAAUAUUUAGAGUACGGAGGACGUCCAUUUGAAAAGAGCUAAACGACAGAUACACAAACAUCUCAUGGAACAUAUAAGCGUAAGCGAAGAAGAAGUCACUCUUACUCCCUCCUUUUCCAUGAAACACACGGUCAUUCUCCUCACGGGCCAUUAACCUAAAUAGAGGACCAAAAUCCAUUGACCGCAACACAUAGUUACAAUCAGUCCAGUCCGCCAACUGACUCAUGUCAUGAGACGCUUCAAAAGUAGGUGGAGAACUCACUCACAUCAUGAGACGCUCAGUCGUAGCCCGCGACAAUGGGCAAAGCUCCCACCUGCUUGUUCUCCUCCUUAGCACCCUCCAUAAUCACCCCUCCAUAGACAAAGGUCCACUGACCGUUGAACAUAACCUCUUUAUUUUCUUCUACAAUGGAUUCAUUACCAUCACAACCACCAUCCCGCUCGGUUGACUCCAUGAAGGAGGAAGAAGACUCCGAGCCCACCGAGAAUGAGACCCCAUCAUUGCCCCACCCGCCCCUUCCCGAAGACUCCUCAGACGAAGAGAGGUUCAUGGUAGCCAUUUAUUACAUGAAUUAAAAAAAAGACAAAUAACACUUUCAAACGUUGGAUGAAAAUACGUGAAAAUUAUACAAUGGGUCUUUCCUAUUUAUAGGCAGCAAAUGGAGGACCCAAAGAUCGUCCUAACUGUUGGAUGUAAAGAAAUCCAACGGUCUGAUUCAAAGACUCCAUAACUUCCAUCCAGCAUGAGAAACGAAAAAUCACAUCCAACGGUUAAGAACAGCUGACCUUGCACAUUCCUAUCAACGCAUGAAAUAGAACCAAACGCCAAUGGUAACAAUUUCAAAAUCAAGGCAACACCCCACCCAAACCAUGCACGCUCACCAAACAGUUAGUAAAGUCCCUUGCACAUUCCUAUCAACGCAUGAAAUAGAACCAAACGCCAAUGGUAACAAUUUCAAAAUCAAGGCAACACCCCACCCAAACCAUGCACGCUCACCAAACAGUUAGUAAAGUCCCUUGCCAAACAUGUUCGUCUCGAACUUGGGAGUCUGUGUACUGUAUGAACCGACCGAUAUACGUAUACCGGUAGACCACACGAUUAAUCACCUUUAGAAACGCAUUACAACCAAAUUAAACGAACGGUCACUUACAACACUCAUCGUCGUUAGGUAUAAAGACUUUAGAUUAACAAAGUAAAAACAUACUUAAACAAUGUUAGGCUUACACUUAUCCAAAGAUAAAGACAUAGGUGAUUACAUUUGGCAUUUGAGACUUAAUUAUAACCAUUCGAUAAGACUAACUUGAAUAUCAAGAGUACAUUUCUCCUCAGAAUUUUGAGGAGAAUAACAACAUAUUAUAAGAAAGUUAAAGAGUUAAUUGAAGGCAACAAACUAGAUUAGUAUAUAUGGAAACACAUUAUUUAAAUUGUCACUCAAAACAUAUCUUAAUUACGUUUCCUCACUUCCGCAUCAAUUUAGUUUUUUUAUCAAUUUUUGUUUAAAUAUUUAGUCGAAACAUAUUCAAAAGUUACACAUUCAAGAUGAAAAGGAAAUAAUUUAAAAAAUAACCAAGAUAGUAAAAUAAAAUUUAUUGUGGAUAUGGAAUUGCUUGAUUUGAUUUUAACCCACAAAUAACACCAAUUCAAUCAAAUCCAAGUUAGUGUAAUGAGUGGAUUUGAUGAAACCUCAAUCACAACAUUGUCCAUAAUAAGAACACGAGAAAGAAACUAAAAUUUAAAAAGCACAGCAAAACUUCUUGCCGGGGAGGAAGAAAUGACAAACUUUGGUAUUUUCUCAUUGAAAUGGUAGACAAUAAUACAACAACGGUGUAACAUUGGUACAAUAAAGAUAUGUCUGUCACUAUUUGCUGCACGAGGACCUUCAAACUACUUAAUUCAUACAGAAUAUCUUUCCAUUAUGCCCCAAGAGAAAAGAAGAAACAUAUGUACAAGGGUUGAGCUUUUAUGGAACCCCUCCAGAGGGUCUCACUGUUUUGUGAAAGGCCGUGUAUAACAUUUGUGAAGGGAUAAAUCCUGAACUAUUGAGCAUAUAUGUAAUAGGCCAAGUCAAAUAAAAGCCGCAUCUUUCUGUUGUUAGUUUUCAAAUUUGUAUCAAUUGUGGGAUAAGCUUCAAAAGGAAAGAUAAAUCCUGCUGUGAAAAUUGUGGAUUUGAGUUCCCCUGCACCGUCACACUCCCCUCCGUAAAACCCUCCCCAUCACCACCCUUUUUUGGCUUUAUCAUAUCUGCAACUGCUUCGGUUAUUUCUUUAACCAGAUCCACAAUUACUCCAUCAAUUCCCAUUAGAUGUUGCAUGUAAACUGCCUCAGGAACAUUGCUGCAAUGUCAAAUAUAAUCAUGAGCCAAAAUGUUACACCAAACACAUUCUUUUCUCAAGCAAUUAACAAAGGAAAGAGAGUACUAAAAACAAGCAUACUUUAAUUUGCCGUAAGAAAGGAGGCAGAGCUUGGACUCCUUUAUCUUGGUUACUGUAGAAGGAUCUCUAAAAAUCCCUUUAAUUUCUGAGACAAUUCCUUCCAAUCCAUUCUCAACAGAGAGCUUCAUGGCCUCCUCCAGUGAGUUUCUUCUCACAUCUUCAUAGAUUUCACAUCCUCCAUUUGUCAAGAAAAAGACCUGGUUGUUCCCAACAAAUUAACCACAACAUCAGAUCCAGUUAAAGAAAUAAAAUAAUUUCUCAGAACUAAAAAGGCUUAAAGAACUAACAGGGUAGUUGCUUUGCAAUUUCCGGAUGAGCAAGGCUGCAUCUGGCUGGAAUGUUGAGAAGAUAAUAGGUCUAUCCUUGGCGUAUUCAAACACAACCUGCACCCCACAAAUACCAAAGACAAUGAGAGAUCCAAGUCACCACUUUUGAAAUGUAAAACUAAAACAAAACACUCAGUGUCCCCCAUAAACACAUUUUAGGCUUAAAAUAGACUCUCUUAGCGUACCUUUAAGAUGGUUUGAAGGACAUGGACGAGAUAAUCUUGCUCAUAGACAAUGUGAUCAUCGAACUUCAACUCAAUAUUAAAACCAAUAGCGGGUUCCACCUUCACAAAAGCCUCUUGGAGAGUGCAAAGUGAGUCAUCUUGUUCAACAUCCCAUGGCAUUAUCUUCCCAUCUUUUUUCCUUAGCAAAACCUUUCCCUCAUUGCCAUGCUCUCUCUGAGGCCCAUAAGAAAGAAACUCUGAGAGACUCAGCUCUGUGAUCCUCCUUCCAGUUACAGCACCCUGCAAAACACAUUAAUUUCAACGUAACAAACCCAAAAAACUCGACCCAUUGAAAAGAAAAAGAAAGAAAUCAUCAAAGCUAAGCAAAAACAAAAAAACUCACAUUCUCCUCCGAGAAGAUGAAAUCGUCGUGGAAAAUGACGGGGCAAUCAUCUCUCGUCACCUACAAAAAACGUGCAUUUUUUAAUUCGUUUUCUUUUUUUUUUCUAUAAAAAAUGCAACGCGUCAAACAAAAACAAACAAGCAGCCAAUCAGUACCGAACAGACGGUCAAAAAAGGGCCGAGAAAGGCAAAUUAUUUACAGAAAAGCCAUCGGGGUAAAAUAGGAAAAGAAGAAAAGUAGUUGUUGCGAAACACAAGAAGCGAAAACGGUGCGCGCGGUGGAACAUUAAAUUAUUGCAUUGAGUGCAAAAGCAGAAAGAGGAAAAUAAAAGAAAAGGUCACCUGAACGUCAAAUUCUAUGAAAUCGAGAGGAAAAGUAGAGGCGGCGUUGAAGGACAUAAUGGUAUUUUCCUUUAUGGCUCUCAUUCUUCGAUCCGAAGAUUGCAGAACGUUCAUGCCGUUACCCCUGUGGCCGAUGACGACGAACUUGGGCAUCUUGAAGCCACUCCGAGCAAUCUCGACCCCUGCAUUAACGAUUAAAAGAAUGUUAGGAAGAAAAGAUGGGAAGAGGAAGAAGAGAAGGAAAGAGAUGGAAAGAACCGUUGGGGAAGCGGGAGGAGCAGAGGGCGAGAGAGGCAUUCUCGGGGACGUGGUCAAGGGAAGGGACGUCGGUGACAUGGACGGCCUUGAGAGCCAUUUGGGUGGAAGGAAAGAGAGAAAGGAGGAAGGGGAAAGGGAGGUGGUGAUGAGGAGGGCACCGGAUGGUUUGUGGGUGAUGGUGGUGGUGGUGAAGAACAAGGCAUGGUUUGGUCCGCUAUUUAUUGCUUCCACCUACGCCAAAUUCACCCUCCAACGGAUCUCCCCACGAAUAUUCCCCUCCCAUCUAUAUGCUUGGGAUAUUCCCUUGUCAUUUUCCACCCUUUCAAUUUCAACCUACACUUUUUCUUUUUCUAUAUCUAUAUCUUCAACAAAAUAUGUCAUUAUAGAUUUUUUACUAAUUUAUUGGACUAGAUUUUCGUCUAAUAUAUUAAUAAUAAUACCAUAUUUAAAUAAAAUAUUUAUAUAUAUCAUCCAAAUAAGUUCAAAAUAAUAACUGAAAAUUUUGAAACCGAACAAUUUUUUUUUAUACAAAAUUUAAAAACAAACACCUUUUCAACCAUUUAAACCACUAAAACAACCAACAAUUGUUUUAUCUCUUACUACAACUUCCAAAAAUAAAGCAAUUGACCAUGAAUACCUUUCAAUUCCAACAGACUUUGAAGCUAGCAUAAAAAAAUCUUGAAACAAUAUCGGAUAACUAGGAAUUGGUUCGAUCAAUUUCCAGCACAAACUGUUCUAGACACCAAAAAUGGAAGCCCUAUGACCAUUUUAAGAGGAAAAGCUAUACAUCUUUUAAUUGGAUGAUUUUAUUUAUUUUUUAAAUAAAAAAAGUAAUUCUUUAUUUAUGUAAUAAAAUAAAUUAUUAAAUAUUGUUUGUUUAAAAAAAAUAAAUUUCUAAAAUAACACUUGCGUAAAAUUAUAUAUAUUUUGUAGUGAUUGGAAACAAUGCUGUGGUGGUGGCGGGUGAGAAGUGGCUGGGUGACAGCUGGGGUAUUAUGUUAUAGUCGUUGACCUGUGACAAGGCAAACUACAAGGUUUUUGAAGAAAAUCUGUGGUGGGAUCGUCCGAACAUUGCGGACUACGGUAUUUUAUAAGAUAGAGGAUGAAUGAAGAAACAUAAUUGAUCGGGUAUGACGUGGUGACACAACAGCAUGUAGAUAGAUAGAGAAAGGUGGGUGGUUAUAAUUGGAUAAGACUACAAAAAGGAUUUAGGAAUGACUCAUGGCUGCCUUUGCCAAACUAUUAAUUUUAUUUAAUGAUAAAAAUUGAUGUUGUCUUUGUACUUUUAGGAAAACAAACAAAAAGUUAAAAUACGGUGGAAACAAUUUGAUAAAAAAAUUGGAAUUUUUUUUGAAAAUAAUGUAUUUUAAUUAGUUUGAUAUAAAAUAGAAACAUUAGGAAAUAUCACAUUCUAUGUUUUUAAUCUUUACGAAAAUAUUUAUUAGUAUAAUUACGUGGUACAAGUAAAAAUCUUCUAGAUAAACUAGAAUUCUCUAUAAGUUGAAUUGCUGUCUGAUUGAGGAGAAGCGGAUUGAGCUUCAAGAAAAAGGAAAAGUAGAGAAAGAUUCAUGUACAAAAUAAAGUUAAUAAAAAAGUAUAAAUAGUAUAAGUGUGAAUAGGAGAUAUACCUGGAUCAAUAGACACACAUUAAAUCGAUUAAUAUUUCAUAUAUGAUAAUAAGAUCAAGAGAUAAUAUGAAUAAAUUUGGAUUGGACUCAAAUAAACCUUUAUUAUAAAAGUUAUUGGGUUUGGACUUAUUUAGUUUUAAAUAUAUAAUUUUGGUUUAAUAAAUUUUAAAUGAUUUUUAUUUUUAUAAAAUUAAAGUAUACAUGAGAGAGUCCGUGUAUAUAUUAAUCUCACAUGACAUUAAAAUCGAGUUUUAUAUUAAAAGUUUUAAAUGUACAAAGGUGAACUUCAGGGAAGACAAAGUAAAAAAAAUUAAAAAUUUUAAGUGGAUCUCCCUUUAAUUUAAAAAUGCAAAUGAGAUUGGGAAAAAGAAUCGAAGAUCCGUAUUAUUAGAUUUGUGUGAGAAAAAAAAAAUCGCAUUCUUUCGUUCAAAAUUUUCUUAAAAAAACUGAAUUUAUAUGUGAUAGUAGCUCAUCCUCUGCAAUUAUAAAAAUAAAAUAGACUAAAUUCUUAUUACAAAGCAAGAGAGGAGGAAAAGAUCUAAGAGUUUUUAUAUCUUGGUAUGCAUUUAGCUACAGUAUGAGCUCCAGAUUUAACUGAUAACAUAGUCCAUGUAAUUUAAUUUGGACAAUGAAUGAAAAGUGACAAUGACUUCCAGAUAUCCAUGAUUUAAAUUACAAUGGAAAAAUAGAAGAAGAAAUGAGGAAGAAUGUGAGGGACUGGGACUAAUUAAUAUAUUAAAUAUUUUACAUCUAACUCUCUUAAUGUAUACACUUCUUCUGAACUUUAUCUGAGAUGAACAGUUAUAGAGAUGAACAGUCAGAGAGGGUGUUGAAAGAGAGAGCUCCCAAUGCAAUUCACAUCCUCCGCUUCAUGCUCUACCAUAUCACUCUCAAAUGGCUGCCAUGCAAUGUGCUCUAACUUCUCUUAUGGACUCUCAAAACAAACCAUAUGCCUUCAACAAAUCAACAUUAGAAUUACCUUUCCAGGACGCUUCUUCUUCUUCCAGCAACAAUGAGAAAUUCUCUUCAAAAUCCAAAAAGUACUCCUCUAAUUUACACCUCACCAUCUUUCAGCCAUGGGAAAUCAUACACCCCAAGUCCCAACUCGAAUUCCCAUGCAUCUCAACAACAAUCCUCUUUCUCUCUAAUAAAGAACGAAGAAAGAAAGAACGAGCGAUUUUUUUCCCUCACACAAACCUUAUAAUACGGAUUCUUAAUUUUUUAAUGCCAUGUAUGAUUAAUGUAUACAUUGAUCAUAUCACGUAAGCGAAACUUAAACGAUCUUUUGUUCAAUUUGACGGCAGGCUCUAAUUACUUCAAUUUUUAAAAAAUAAGGAUCUAAUUAAGAUGGCAUAAAAAAAAAGGGACUUAUUUGACAUUUUGGACCAAAAUAGGAACAAACCGAGACAUUAAACCUAUAGUCUUUCAUAAUUAUUCUUUUCCAUUUGUUAUUUAAAAAACGUUAAAAUUAGAAAAUGUUAAUUUAUAUAACAAAGAUAAUAAAGAAUUUUAAAUGGAAAUAAUUAUAAUUUUAAAGCAUAAAAUUUAAUAAAUCUAUACUUAUAUAUAUAUAUAUAUAUAUAUAUAUAUAUAUAUAUAUAUAUAUAUAUAUAUAUAUAUAUAUAUAUAUAUAUAUUAUGGGUUUGUUAACGUGCGUAUGCCUCUUUUCAGUUGGUACAUUUUAACAAUGUGUACCGGAUUAUAGUAGACAAAAAUAUCAUCAUAUAUUAUGGAUUCUAAGUUUUAAAGUCAAGGAUAUUUAAAUAAUUUUCAUUCUGAAAACUAAAAAAAAAAAAGAAAUCCCCAAACCCUUACUCACCUCUCCCAUUCCUAUCAAUUCUUUCUGUUUCAUUUCUCUCACUCCAACUUUUUCUCUGUCAUUUUUACUAUAGCCCCAAUUAAAAAAAAUUAGAAAAACUUGCUGUUAAGAAAUUUCUUACAAAAAAAUGAUUUUAUAAUGAGUUUUCAUUUUAUAACUUUUGUCUUAUCUAAUUUUCACAAGCAUAAUGACAUAUGAAGGAAUUGGUAAUUCGCCUGAAAAAAAAAAUAAAAAACACUCGCUAUUAAACAAUUUCUUACAAAAAAUGAUUUUAUAAUGAGUUUUCAUUUUAUAAUUUUUGUCUUAUCUAAUUUUAUUUAAUUUUCACAAGCAUAAUGACAUCAGAAGGAAUUAGUAAUUGGCCUGAAGAUUUUUUAAGAAAUGACGAUUCAACAUCUGCAGAUGAUGAAAUUAGAGAUGUUAGUGAAGAUGAUGAAAUUGAAGAGAUCUUGAAUGAACCUUUGCCUGAAAGCGAAUAUGCCAAUGACUCAACUCUUUACAAAGGUAAAUUGUUUAAGGAUGAGUAUUUCUAAUUUUUUUUUCAAUUGGAUCUACCAUAGGAUGAUAGAGAAACGGUUGGAGUGAGAGAGAUGAAAGAGAAAGGAUUGAGAGGAAUGAGAGAGGUGAGUAAGGGUUUGGGUUUUUUUUUUNUUUUGUUUUGAGAAUGAAAAUUAUUUAAAUAUCCUUGACUUUAAAACUUAGAAUCUUAAUAUAUGAGGGUAUUUUUGUCUACUAUAAUCCGGUACACAUUGUUAAAAUGUACCAACUGAAAAAUAGGCGUACAUAUAUAUAUAUAUAUAUAUAUAUAUAUAUAUAUAUAUAUAUAUAUAUAUAUAUAUAUAUAUAUAUAUAUAUAUACAAACACACACACACAUACGGGGUUUGUUAACAUACGUAAGCUAUAUUUUUACAGUUAAUACAUUUUAGCAAAGUAUACCGAGUUUUAGUAGACAAAAAUACCCUUAUACAUUAUGGAUUCUAAGUUUUAAGGUCAAAGAUAUUUGAAUAAUUUUCGUUCUUAAAACUAGAAAGAAAAACAAGAAACCUGCAAACCCUUAGUCACCCUUCUCUCAUCCCUCAUUCCUCUCAACCAUUUCUCUUUUAUCACUCUCUGUAACCUUUUCUCUGUCAUCCCUAUAAUAGCCCCAACUGAAAAAAAAAAAAUCAGAAACACUCGCAUAACCCUAAUCCACCUUCCUCAUUUAUCCAAUUUGUUUCUCUCUCAUCUUCACCUCUCUCGUCCACACACAGUAACUCGCGACAUUGCAAUUUGUAGUUCUUGCUCUGUUCGUUCAUUUGUUUCCACUUUAAUAACAAAAUAAUUGAUGAUGUUGAUGUUGAUUUUUGAUUGAAGGGUUGUUAUAUUUUUUUCCCUUAUGAUUAUUAUUAAAUUUUGUUUUUAAAUUUUAGAAUUAGUAGUUUAUCUAUAGGGAGAUUUGAUAUUUUGACUAUUAAGUUGUCCGAAAAUAUUUUUCAGAAGAGAAAAAUAGUUACGUGGAAAGGCGAUUCCCGAAAGGGUAAGUCAUUGUCCAAAAAAUGGAUUUCUGAAGUCAGUUCUUAAAAAUAAUUCUAAAAACAUAUUUUGCGCUGAAAGCAAUACUUUGGAAUAUACUUUUCACCUUCCUGCAUAUAACCAACGUCAAAACACAACAAAAAAUGAAGCUCAUGUACAUCGUACUAAAUGAUUUAACAGGAAAAAAUUAUUGAAGAGAGUUAUGAACAUAAAAGAAUUUUGUUGUUGUCCACUAGACUUUUCACUCAAUUCUGGUUGUGUAAUAUUGUUCAUCACUCCUGAUGUCCACUAGACAAACUCGUCUAGGUACCGCUUAAUCCAACCAAGUUAAGCCUUAAGUGUUUGAAUUAUCUUCAAAAUAUGCAAUCAAUCAAAUCACCUACAAGUCAUUAGAUGAUUACUCUCAUAGUGAGGAUUUGCUUACAAUAUAAUUCAAUCUAAUAGACUUUUGAAAUUUUCUUUUUUCUUACAAGUGUAACUUUCUAACUCUAAACAACUCUGAGAGUAUUCUUGAUCUUUCAAUGAGGAUGAUUUUUCUUUAUAUUCCUUAUGUGUCCAUCCUUUUUUCCUUCUUAACCAGAUAUCUUCUCUUUAUAAGCGUUUUUUGAGAAUUUAGUCGUUAGAUGAUGCUUGUCUUUGAAUUUUAGCUCUUUGUAGCCUGCCUUUAUCAUAGGUGGUUGUCAUAGGUUGAGGUCUACUUGUCAAAGUAGGCUUACUUUUUUAGUACUUUAUCAAAAGUAGGUUGUACGAAUUCUUUGGCUCGACUUUUGAUAAGAAGGUCAUUCCAUGAAUGUCUUCUUUGUCUCUAACUUGUAUUUGAUAGAGAAGGUGGAUGCUUGACUUAGGUAAUUUGCAUAAAGUAGAGUAGAUAUUCAUACAAGCAUAUAUGUCUGUUUUCCUUUCACUUUUGCUAUUUUGAGACAUUGUGUUUUUUAAUGCGCGUUUAGAACAACUAUAAGUAUUUUAAAAUUUCCUUGCUCAAGCAGCAUUUGGUUGUUUAAGCAUUCUAGUAGAGAUACCUAGUAGAUCAUGAGAGUUUCAUCAUUGGAUGAAAACUUCGUUUAGCACAUGAUAUCGUUUAGCCUAUGCAAGGCUUUUCAUAAUAGUGCCUUGUUUAAUAAAUACUCGUUUGAUUUAAGAGCGCAUUUAGUGAGAUAUCUUUCAACAUCAAUUUUUGGAACAAUGAUUGUAUCUUUUAGCACAUUUACCAAAAACAUCAUUUUAUAUAUAUCAUAGUGAGAUCUUGUUUAGCUUUGUUUAGCAAAGUAUAGCACAAAUGUGUUUAACAAGACUCUCAUAUAGCUCAAUGACGCAUUUAGUAGUGAAAUCGUUUAGUAGUGCAUCUACUUAUGUAUUAGUGCAUUUAUUAAAGUUUUUUCUUUCAUGGAAAGUCUUUUUAUGUAGCGAUAUGAGUUUUACAAAGGUAAUACUUUGUUAAUCAUCUAUUUCGGUCAUAUUCUUAUUUACUAAUUCUCAAGUCAUGUGAAGAUGCUAAACAAUCUUGAUCUUAUCUUAGCAAACUUCCUUUCUUCUUGUAGUACUGAUUUAUUGUGUAGCACUAUCGUUUUGUAUUAUGUCUCUUCUUAGGAAUGAAUUGUUUUCUUUUAGGAUGAAGAUAUAUUCUUUUAUUUUACGAAUAUUUUAUUUGCAAUGCGUGAUUACUUGAUAGAUUCUUGCACUCAAUGUUUUGUCAGUUUUACUUGGACACUUCUUAUGCUUAUUGCUUUGUAAUUGUAUAUUUGUAGGCAUACUGUAUGUAGGCUUCUUCUAUGUUUCUAUGUUAUUUCAGCUUAUCUCUUUUGUUGUUUAACAACUUAUGUAACUUUAGAUGUAACCUUGAUUUUUACUUUGAUUUGGCUUGACAAUAUAGAUGCUUCUAACCUUAGACGUUUUUCUUUUGGACAUCUUUUUUCCGCUAAAUGGAUAACUAGAUGGUUUGCAAAGUCCACUUUCUAGUGUUUAGAUGAUUUUUCUUUUACAAUUAUCAGAUAAUGUCAUCGAUAAAUAUAUCAUCCAUAAAUAUCAUCCAUAAAUAUAAUGAAUAAUUGUACUUAAUUUAUCUAUCAUUCUAAAAAUAACUUUUUUUUCUAAUCGACUUAAUGAGUCCACUACUAAAUUUAUUAUUAUAUAUUAUUUAAUAAUAUUAUCUUGAAAAUAUUUUAUCAAGAUAAUUUUAUGAAAUAUUAAUUAAAAAACAAUAAACAUUUAUAACAUUUAUAAGAAAGUGUGAUAUUUGAGAAAAACAUAAUAUAAUAUUUAAAAUAAAAGACAACUUAUUAGAAGAAAUGAGAAGAACAGGGAUGGAACUAAAGGUUAAUAAAUAAAAUUGAUGUUUUUCUAUUUUUACAAUUAAUUAUUUUUAGAAUAAAAGUUGUGUAUGGAAUUAAAAAUUCUAUACAAUAAUUUGUUAAGAGAUAAAAUAUGGUCGUAGAGGAUUAAUAAUUUAUUUAUUAAUUUUUCUAUUACUUUUGAUAGUUAACCAUGGAUGAUUGUUAUAGUUUUUUAGAACAUUAGUUACUUUCCUUAGUUAGUUUUAAUUUUUUUUUUCUACAAAUAGUUGAGUAAAUUAUUUUUCUAUACCAUAUGUUACGGAUGUUUCUUUAAUUAGUUUUAUACUUUCUAGCAAAUAAUUAAACACAAUUAUUAUCUUACGCAUGAAUGUGAAACAUGAUAUAAAUGUGUAAAAUUAACUUAUGAAAUCUUAUGAAAUAUAUGUUAAUGAAGUUGAAUCUCAUUUUCAAUUAAAAGGAAAACAAACUGAAAGAAAGACAACACCAAUUUCAUUCAUGUAUUUAUGAGGUGUCAAAGUUUCAUUUUAACAUUUUGUCUUUUCACAUAAUAUUAAUUGAAAAAAAAAAGUAAUGAAAAGGUGGAGAAAAAAAUGUAUGAUUUUAGUAUGUCUUCCGUUGUAGCCAAAAAACUGCUCACUGAAAGGAAUUAAAAAAUAGAUUUGAAUAGGAGUCUGUCAGACAACCCUGCAACCAUCCCCAGCUUGUAAAGUCAGGGAACGAUCCUCUACAGCUGGUGAUGGGUCUCGUCCAGAAACGAAGCCCACACUGCCGUUAAUCACGCUCUGAUCACAGGGUAAUAAUUCAUCCACCAGACUUCAGUUCCUGUCUCCUUAGAACUUAAGGAUACAGAGGUACGAACCUAUAGAACAGAUCCUGUUCAAGUAAGGUCGU
rnacentral:lncRNA from 1 species